GUUAAUGUAGCUUAAUAAUAAAGCAAAGCACUGAAAAUGCUUAGAUGGAUGACUAAUCCCAUGAACA
rnacentral:tRNA from 1 species